AACUUAAAAAACACGGAAACUGAAAGUUUCGGCGUCAAAAAUUGGUAGGUUAUUUACACUUAUGCCAUUGAGAAGAAUAAGAGAUCCUAACCUAAAUCGUGCAUUGGACAAAGCCCAACAUCCAAGAGAAGAAAGCAACUGAUCUUCAUUGCUUGAAUUCGUACCAGUAGACCUCAUCACCACUAAAGAGGAGAAUCGAUAAAUUUCUAGCUCUGAAGAAAAUUGGGAGAAGUUUCAAUGCACAAGUGCGCAAUAGGACGGACUAUCGAAACCCGGAUUUCUUGCUGGAUGCGGUGAGGUAUCAGGAUAUUGAUCGGAUAGGGUCCUGCUUUAGUAAAGAUGUGUUUGAGCCUCAUGGAUAUGAAAACAGCGACUACUAUAUAUGAUGAAAUAGGUCAUUUACCCAGCUUGUUCAACUUCUCACUCUUGAGCACACAGAGAUUUGCUUCUUGCUUUGUUCUUUUUUAUGCAUGCAACAUGCACUUUGGAAAAGCAUUAUCUGUCCAUCUGGGCUGCUACCUGUCAUUUGGAAAAGUAUCACUUUCUUUUAUUCUAUAAAACGUACAAAAUAUCAUCUAUGCAGAUUUGUACAUGCAUACUCUGUAAGUUAUAGCAGUAUGUAUGUCAAUUGUUUGAGGAAAUAGGAACUGCAUGAAGAUUCAAGGUU